UACGUAGGGUGCAAGCGUUAAUCGGAAUUACUGGGCGUAAAGCGUGCGCAGGCGGUUAUGCAAGACAGAGGUGAAAGCCCCGGGCUCAACCUGGGAACUGCAUUUGUGACUGUAUAGCUAGAGUACGGUAGAGGGGGAUGGAAUUCCGCGUGUAGCAGUGAAAUGCGUAGAUAUGCGGAGGAACACCGAUGGCGAAGGCAAUCCCCUGGACCUGUACUGACGCUCAUGCACGAAAGCGUGGGGAGCAAACAGG
rnacentral:rRNA from 1 species